rnacentral:rRNA from 1 species
GAUGAACGCUGGCGGCGUGCCUAAUACAUGCAAGUCGAGCGAACAGACGAGGAGCUUGCUCCUCUGACGUUAGCGGCGGACGGGUGAGUAACACGUGGAUAACCUACCUGUAGGACUGGGAUAACUUCGGGAAACCGGAGCUAAUACCGGAUAAUAUAUUGAACCGCAUGGUUCAAUAGUGAAAGACGGUUUUGCUGUCACUUAUAGAUGGAUCCGCGCCGCAUUAGCUAGUUGGUAAGGUAACGGCUUACCAAGGCAACGAUGCGUAGCCGACCUGAGAGGGUGAUCGGCCACACUGGAACUGAGACACGGUCCAGACUCCUACGGGAGGCAGCAGUAGGGAAUCUUCCGCAAUGGGCGAAAGCUUGACGGAGCAACGCCGCGUGAGUGAUGAAGGUCUUCGGAUCGUAAAACUCUGUUAUUAGGGAAGAACAAAUGUGUAAGUAACUAUGCACGUCUUGACGGUACCUAAUCAGAAAGCCACGGCUAACUACGUG